UACGAAGGGGGCUAGCGUUGUUCGGAAUUACUGGGCGUAAAGCGCGCGUAGGCGGAUUAGUAAGUCAGAGGUGAAAUCCCGGGGCUCAACCCCGGAACUGCCUUUGAUACUGCUAGUCUUGAGUUCGAGAGAGGUAAGUGGAAUUCCGAGUGUAGAGGUGAAAUUCGUAGAUAUUCGGAGGAACACCAGUGGCGAAGGCGGCUUACUGGCUCGAUACUGACGCUGAGGUGCGAAAGUGUGGGGAGCAAACAGG
rnacentral:rRNA from 1 species